AUUGAACGCUGGCGGCAUGCCUUACACAUGCAAGUCGAACGGCAGCACGGGAGCAAUCCUGGUGGCGAGUGGCGAACGGGUGAGUAAUAUAUCGGAACGUGCCCAGUCGUGGGGGGUAACGCAGCGAAAGCUGUGCUAAUACCGCAUACGAUCUACGGAUGAAAGCGGGGGAUCGCAAGACCGCGCGGGAUUGGAGCCGCCGAUAUCAGAGUAGCUAGUUGGUGGGGUAAAGGCCCACCAAGGCGACGAUCUGUAGCUGGUCUGAGAGGACGACCAGCCACACUGGAACUGAGACACGGUCCAGACUCCUACGGGAGGCAGCAGUGGGGAAUUUUGGACAAUGGGCGCAAGCCUGAUCCAGCAAUGCCGCGUGCAGGAUGAAGGCCUUCGGGUUGUAAACUGCUUUUGUACGGAACGAAACGGCCCUUUCUAAUACAGGGGGCUAAUGACGGUACCGUAAGAAUAAGCACCGGCUAACUACGUGCCAGCCGCCGCAGUAAGAC
rnacentral:rRNA from 1 species